AACACUAGGUGGUAGGGUUCCUGGUGGCUUGAUGAUGGGGGGAAGAGUGACAGGUGGUUUUAGGGGUGGAAGAGUUACAGGAGGCUUGACAAUAGGUGGAAGGGUUGGAGGAAGAGUGACCGGAGGCUUGACAAUAGGUGGAAGGGUCGGAGGAAGAGUGACCGGAGGCUUGACAAUUGGAGGAAGAAUGACCGGAGGCUUGACAAUUGGAGGCUUGACAAUUGGAGGAAGAAUGACCGGAGGCUUGACAAUUGGAGGCUUGACAAUUGGAGGAAGAAUGAACGGAGGCUUGACAAUUGGAGGAAGAAUGACCGGAGGCUUGACAAAAGGUGGAAGGGUUGGAGGUGGAGUGACUGGAGGCUUGACAACAGGUGGAAGGGC
rnacentral:lncRNA from 1 species